UGUUUACCUGUAAAUCUGUGUUAAUUUUGGCAGACAAGUUGCUGUUGGUCUUCAUUUUCUGAGUUGGAAGAGAAGGAGGACAUUUCUUUUCACCUCUUUUUGUAGUAUUUUCAUACUGAGCGUGAUUGUAGUGUGUUUGUGAUACAAGAUAGAAGUUAGCCGCAUGACCCAGGUUGGUCUGCUUUUUUCCCACUGAGUCCUGCCAAUUCGUGAACAUGUUUCCACUGUGAAACAUUACCAUAGACUGUAUAUGAAUAUCAUUAUGUAACUUUAUAUUCAGUCUAUGAACGUUACUCUCAGCAGGCGAUAGCAGCACUGUUUACAGGCAGUUCAACACCUGAGUCUGUCCUGGUGACCACAGAGAAAGCUGUUUUUACAUGUCUGUGUUUAGCGCUGAAUAGGUUGCUUUUGAGUCUCUGUGGUUUGGAGAUUAGUUUUACUCUCACAUUCAUGUCUGUACUUUCAGAUAUCAGGCUUAUUCUACUGGUGACUGAGUUUCAGAGAUGUUGAACUUACUGCUGAUAGAAAUCAAUCGUCUAUCAUCACCCUGAUUGAUUGAUCAUCAUCAAUCAAUCAUCCUGCUGCUGUUUCAUAUUAAAAACUCUCCAUUGGUGAACCAGUGUGAGAUUUUUAUUGUGAAGCAGCUACAGGAAAUACUACUUGUUUGCAUUUAGUGUAUCUGCAACCACUGGUAAGUAGCUGUAGGCUUGAGGUAACGUUACCACUUUACAUUCUGCUCACAUUUUAUAAUCACGGUCUUGUAUUCAGCCGAUAUGUUACAUUUGCAGUGUUUAUGAACUUGAAUGAACCGCUAUUAGCCAACGUGUCAUAAUAACUUGCCAAUCUGAGAUGGAACCAUUUGGCAGCCAUCUUACAUGUAUCCAGUUUUAAACAUAGACAUAUAUGGGUAGACGUCGCAUUGACUGCUGGAUUGUAUGUCAAUGUCGCUGCCACAGUGGUCCAGGCAACUUGCCAUAAACUUUCAGAAGACUGGACUGGGAAGAUGCUUGAAUCGUGUUCAAACCGUCACACAAUCCAAACCAGAUCUUGGGGAAUUGCCACUCACAGAUCUUCCAAUAGACCUUCUGUCAAAACAGGGCCAUGAGUACACAAAAGACCAGAGGGAGUUUGCCCUCACUCUCCACCUACACGGUCCAAAAGAACAUAACUGUCUGAGAGAGUCUCUCCAUCUCGACCUCCCACAUCCACAUACAUUGCAAAGGUGGAUGAGUUCUGUGGAUGCCAAGCCUGGCCUAAUGCUGUUGGAUAUGUUGAAAAGAAGACUCUCAUGUUGGAUGCCAUGACUAUCAAAAAACAUGUCCAGUACAACCAUCAUACCCAGAAAAUGUCUGGAUUUGUGGAUAUGGGGGAUGGAAUGAAUGAGACGGAUGUUGCCACUGAGACUCAUGUUUUUAUGGUGGUUGGAAGGCUCCAGUUGCCUACUACCUGAACAAGUCUGUGUCACCAGAUACACAGAAGGUCCAAAUUGUGAAUGCGUUGGAGGAACUGCAUGAGUGUGGCAUAAGAGUGGUGUGUGUUAAUAUAGAUGGGUAUGCCUCCAAUGUUAGCAUGUAUGACCAACCUGGGUGCCUGCUAAAGGCAAACCUUCUUGAGCCCUUAAAAACCUUUAUUGCAUAUCUAGUGACUGUUUAGAGGGUUUUUGUGAUGAUGCUUGCUACAUAUUGAAGCCGGCACAGAACAUGUUACAGGCUUAGAGUCCAACAACCACCACAACUGGCCAGAUCAACUGGACAUACAUCGUUCAUCUGAAUGAUGUCCAAGCAAAAGAUGGACUGCAUGCUGCCAACAAGAAGCUCUGUGCACAUUGAGGGACCUUGGCUAUUCACAGUUUGAACACUGUCAAGCAACAGCUGAACUCAUUGAGGUGAAGGGGAGAACUUAAGGCAGCUCUUCAACCUUGUAUUUAUUUUUGAGCACAUGACUGGCUACAUACAUGUGGAAGCAGAAUUUGUGAGGAUUACUACUGCUCCCCUUGUCUCAAAGUUCCUUGCACAACUUGACCAGCACAUUGCCAAGCUCAUCAAAGUGUUGAGGAAGAAAGGAGGCUCUGCAGGGAGUAAAAUUAGCAUAAUUUUGGCUCCAGUAGAAAACAUUUGUAGAAAACAUUAUGGAAUUAUAAGAAGAUUAUUAGUAGAUGACUGUUUUUACGGGUAUAGGGACUAAUAAACAGUCAGAAAUCAAUCACAUCUGUAAACACGCCCCUAUAAGUAUAAAAUUGUGAUAUGACUAUUGUUCACAAUGCCUGAACAACAACUCCUGUGCUUCUUUCAAACAAAUUGCUACUUUUUAUUUGCAGUCACCUCAAACUUUAAACACAGAUCAGUGACCGUAGCUGUUUCAGUUGUACUGAUAUUUGGAAUGAGCAACAGAAAGUUUGCUUCUUAACAUACAGCAUGACAACUUAUCCCCUAAUCCACACACACAAUUUUAAGCCUCUGUUUUCAGGUUUAUCCAUGAGUUAGUCUUGUGAAAAAGUUCAGUUUUUGGAUGUAAAAGACACGUUAAAACAAAGAAGGAAGAUGCUUUACUGGUUUUCUUUCACUUCCCUGCCUAAUGUGGACAUGGUCUAUAAGUGAUGGUAACCAUUAAUGUCCAUGUGAUGAUUAAUUGGUCAUUGUGUAUGUCUAUCUCUGCAGUUAAGAAGCCAUUAAUUUCACAUGCUUAGAGAAAUGUGAGGUGUAGUAUGUGUGUUGUGUAUGUGUGUAUGUGCAGUCCUAAAGUUUUACUGUGGUUUUUUUUCUCCUUUAGAAUGAAACUGUUGAAAAGAAGGGGAAGAGGGAGUGCAUCCUCAGGGCACUUUGUAUCUACCUGAAUGAGGACUUGAGCAUCGUCCUCAGAGAACUCCUGGAUUCAGAUGCUACAACUGUUCAGAGGGAGCUUGAACAAGUUAUCCUUGGCAUCUACAGCAUCAGUGUUGAGGGAGGUGAUGCCACCAUUCCUCCAGCUGAUGGUGGAAUAGUGAUCGAGGGUGUUGAAGUUCUGCAUGGCUUGCAUCUCCUCUGCAUGUGCACUCUUAAUGGGUGUAAUAUAUGCACUGAACCUCAGCUAUCCUCAGGAACUGAGAGCCUUCUUUGAAGUUUUUCAGAGGCUGUUCCUUCAAUUGGAUGCUUGAAGACUCUCAACCAAGGUACAGAAGCUCAAGAACAAACUGUAUGAAUAAGCCAACCAUUGAUUUGGAUGCUGAAUCUUCUGUGGAAGAGACAAAAUUAUAUUUUGGGCCAAAACUGAAUAAAAUGAUGUUUAGCUGUUUGAAAAUAGCAGAGCAAAGAAAAACUACACUUCAGAACAAUAACCAAUGAUUUGGCAAACUACCACCAUAAGUGAAAAGUGGUAGUCUGGUGGUACUACUAAGUGACAAGUGAAAGAUAUUGAAUUGAGAGACCAUGUGAUUCAUUUUCUGUGAAUCAUCUAAUCAAUUAAUAUUUGCAGCUCUAUUUAUAUGUGUUGGUCUUAUGGUGCCAAAAAAGUUAAUGCGUUGUUUUUUUGGACCAAGUGGCUCCAAAAUAUUUUUAUUUAUUUAUCUAGUUGGCUUAACUCACAACCAUUGUGUUACUGUAAUACAAGUUCAUUAAAUUAGAUGAGCUUAACAUUUUUGUUUUUAACUAACAUAUUAUAAUUUCAUGGAACCUGUUGACAAAAUACAUUUAAUUAAAGUCAGUGUUUCGAUUUUUUGAGUGCAUGUCGCUAUCAUUAAGGAUUAUAUCUAGUUUUAGCUACUGCAAAAUUUUGAGUUUUAGUCAUCAUUUCAAUCUAACAUAGAAAGACUUCUCUUUUUAAAAGAUUAAUUUCAGUACCAAACAUGCUAAAUUACCAGAUUCACCGUGCACUCUAUUAUGCAAUAUUUAUCUUUUGCUGUUUGGUAUUGAAUGAGAGUAAUCACCCUUUGGUGAUAACAUUUUCUCUCCAUCAUUUUACUCACUGCACGCUGUAUUUAAACUCUUAUCAUCAUCAUUUUUCGUUGAAAUAAUCACAGAUUUCUACAGAGUUCUAUUGACACUACUACUAAUAUUAUUUUUGCUCUGAUGCUUUUGGAAAUGUGGUCCUUUUCUUUGUAAUAUAAUAUUAUGCACAUAAUUCUGAUAUUUAAAAGCUCAAGACAACGGUUUCAACCCUAGCUGGUCAGUGAUUCCACCUUAAAAAGGGUUCAAUAUUAAGUGAUUAUCUUUAAAGAUCUUGGUUCUUGUUUGGAAUAUCUUAAAAGGUCACAUCUAUCUAGGUGUUAAGAUUAAUGCCCAACAAAUUAAAUUUGUCAGUGAGAUUUAAGCUAUUUUAUUAUGCAAGAUGUCAUUUAAGAUGUCAUUUGCAACACAUUACACAAUACGUUUUUUAUGUUUUCAGUGAAUCAAAUAACAAAACAUUGUUAAACACACAAUACAUUUGUAUUGAUGACAUUUACAGAUUAAUGUGCUUUUGGAAAAUGUUGAAAUGAAACUGUAGAAGAAAUAACCAUUUUAAAAAAUCCCAAUUCAGUAAUUUUCUUCAAAAGCGAAAAUGUGAAGUACUUUAAGCACAUUUAUUAUUUCAAAAGUUUACUUAUAAAGACACCCUUCUCCUUGUUACAAUAAGAUAAUAAUUUCAGUCUCAGUGAGAGUUUAAUGGUGUAUUAAACUUGUGAUAUCCUCAGUGGAUAAGCUGCCAAAUAUUCUUCACCACUGAGCUGAGAACCGAGAGUGAAGUCAAAAAGCUAAAGCAGAGCUCAGCCAGGUAGCAAUGAAGAGAGGAAAACUGUUUUGAUUUUUUUUUUUUUUAAAGAAAAAAAAGAAAAAAACUUUUCCUAUAAAAGAAUCUACUGCUGCUAGGUUUGCUGUGUGCAAUAUUAAAACUGCCUCCAGGCUCAACAGGCUCCAGUAAAAGAAACCUCUGCUGGAGCCAACAGCAUCAAUGAUGAUGAGUGUGCUGCUGUGUGAACUGAUGCUCUCAGACAACGGCAGGAAUAUAUUAGAAAUACAGAUAAUGAUGAAGAAUUGAGAUAAAACAUGGAGAGUGACAACUAAAUCAGCUCCAGCGUGCCACAGAUCACCCAACUUUCUCAGCUGCUAAAGAUAUAAUACAAGGAUAAAGUUUGGAAUUAACUGGGGCUUACAUGUUCACUUUUGUAUGUUCAGUUUAGCGCAAGGCCCUGCUAAAUCCGUCCGAUAUUUGUGAUCAAUAUUUAAUCUGGGCCAGUAUUUUUAGGCAUUUUGUUGAUACUCCAAAUCUAACCCAGCACAUGGUUGCACCAUCCAUCAGUGAAAACUGCUUCAAAGUGACCUGCCAAAGAAUACGUGACAAAGUGGGUGAGACCACACCAUUUGUCCCUGUUACACUUUAAUAUACGUCUUAACUUGCUUGUUAUUUCUUUGUUUAGUCAGUAUAACAUCUAUCUGUAGCAUUGCUUUUGCAUACUAUCCUGCUUAUAUAUUAGCCUGUUGUGUUACCAUACUCACCAUGCUAUCCAGGAUACAAAGGGGGAGUCACCCACUGACUUCCUGCUUUUAAGCUCUCGCUGACAUCACCAGUGACCAAGCAUGGGGGGAUUUAUUGGAUUUAGUUAAAGGUUUGGUUACGUUUUAUGUUAUUUGUACUUAUUUUGGCUCAUGGUGAGGACUAUGUUGUGAAUAAAGUCGUAAACAAUAUCAACUGCUAGUGACAUUGUUAUAUGCCAGUUGUUGGUAUAAGGGAAAGGGCACCCCUGUGAGAAUUAUGGUUCUGCCUAGAUAGAUUGGAGGGCCUAUUUAAGGGGAGAGUUGGUGGUUUAGGGGAGAGCUGAAAGGAAAGAGGAUGUACAGGUGAUCAUGCUUAAGUUUGUUUAGUUGAGUUUUCCUGAGUUAAACUCACAAUAUCUCAAUCAAAACAAUAACAAAAGACGAAGUGUGAUGACAGUGUGAAGUAACGUGGGAUCAUGGGAGUUGUUGUCUUCAUUGUUAAACAACCAGCUUCUUCAGGUUAGGAUUAUUAUGUUCAUCGUUCAGGACGUUUUUACCGGGAGCCAAAUUAUCCGCAGAGGUCUCCUCCUCUCCAAAAACA